UACGUAGGGGGCUAGCGUUGUCCGGAAUCAUUGGGCGUAAAGCGCGUGUAGGCGGUCCGGUAAGUCCGCUGUGAAAGUCGGGGGCUCAACCCUCGAAUGCCGGUGGAUACUGUCGGGCUAGAGUGUUGCAGGGGAGACUGGAAUUCCUGGUGUAGCGGUGAAAUGCGCAGAUAUCAGGAGGAACACCGGUGGCGAAGGCGGGUCUCUGGGCCGAUACUGACGCUGAGGAGCGAAAGCGUGGGGAGCGAACAGG
rnacentral:rRNA from 1 species